AUUGUUUCCAUUUCUGCAACCACGGUACAAGAUAACUCCUUCGCACAAAGCCGGCGGAAGAAAUUGCUCAACUCUGCUAGCACCUACCACACAUGCUCAGGGACAUAGCCUCGAACCAUCACCGGAAGUAGGCGCUCAAGCCAUAUAUGGUAAUCAUGACUCUUGAGCCCAUUGAUUCGCAUAGUUGCUAAAUUCACUCCCCUCUUCAAGUUCACUGCAUAGCCAUCAGGGAACAUUAACGUUUGGAACCAUUCUAGAACCUCCC
rnacentral:lncRNA from 1 species